GUGUCAGCCGCCGCGGUAAGACAGAGGGUGCAAACGUUGCUCGGAAUUACUGGGCGUAAAGCGCGUGUAGGCGGUGCCGCACGUCCGGUGUGAAAGCCCAGGGCUCAACCCUGGAAGCGCACUGGAAACGACGGCGCUGGAGUCCUGAAGAGGAGGGCGGAAUUCCCGGUGUAGAGGUGAAAUUCGUAGAUAUCGGGAGGAACACCAGUGGCGAAGGCGGCUCUCUGGACAGGAACUGACGCUGAGACGCGAAAGCGUGGGUAGCAAACAGGAUUAGAAACCCCUGUAGUCC
rnacentral:rRNA from 1 species